rnacentral:lncRNA from 1 species
GAGAACGAAGGUGGGUGAGGCAUUUCCCUCCCACGCCGAAGGCCUCCGGGAAUAGAAAUACCGGGACCAACACACCCAUGCUCCUGAAAGAUGAGACUCGCAGAGCCCGGCCCGAGACUGCACCCAGCCGUCCAAGGCUGACCAUGCUUCCCACCCGGCCCUCCCCACGCCGGCUCGGACUUCGGGCAUUUUCUCUCCUCCUUUCCUCCCUGGUGAUCUGAGGCCGGCUCUGUCGGGGGAGUGUUCUUCCUCUUUGCAGUGAGUCCAAUAAACUCAGCUUUGCCUGAACAACAGGUUUUUCUGGUGGUGAUUUUGGGGAGUCUACAGCCAACAGCUGAAAUUGGGAAAACGGGGCGGGGGUGGGGAAUCCCUUUUUGUUUUUUGUUUUUAUUUUUUACAGUAAAGUGAAAGCAAGUUUAUUAGGAAGAUAGAGGAAUAAAAGAAUGGCUGCUCCAUAGACAGGGCAGCUGGGAAUCCCUUUUAGCACCUGGUGGCUGCAGAUGGGUAGAAAUACAGACCAUAUUUGGUUCUUAGUUUAAUUAGCCAGAGACGC